rfam:Buceros rhinoceros silvestris contig11716, whole genome shotgun sequence.
UGCUGUGAUGAUGUAAUUUGCGUCUUAUCCAGUGUCCAGUGACAGUUGCCUGCUGUCAGUGUGCUGGCACUGCUGAGCUGAAGACCCUUUCGUUCUGAGCA